AUGAAUCUAGUAUAAUGAUCCCUGGUGUAGAGUGACUAGAGGUGAGAGCAUGAAUCUAGUAUAAUGAUCCCUGGUGUAGAGUGAUAAGAGGUGAGAGCAUGAAUCUAGUAUUAUGAUCCCUGGUGUAGAGUGACUAGAGGUGAGAGCAUGAAUCUAGUUGAUGAUCCCUGGUGUAGAGUGACUAGAGGUGAGAGCAUGAAUCUGGUUGAUGAUCCCUGGUGUAGAGUGACUAGAGGUGAGAGCUUGAAUCCAGUUUAAUGGUCCCUGGUGUAGAGUGACUAGAGGUGAGAGCAUGAAUCUAGUUGAUGAUCCCAGGUGUUGAGUGACUAGAGGUGAGAGCAUGAAUCUAGUAUAAUGAUCCCUGGUGUAGAGUGACUAGAGGUGAGAGCAUGAAUCUGGUUGAUGAUCCCUGGUGUAGAGUGACUAGAGGUGAGAGCAUGAAUCUAGUAUUAUGAUCCCUGGUGUAGAGUGACUAGAGGUGAAAGCAUGAAUCUAGUUGAUGAUCCCUGGUGUAGAGUGACUAGAGGUGAGAGCAUGAAUCUAGUUGAUGAUCCCUGGUGUUGAGUGACUAGAGGUGAGAGCAUGAAUCUUGUAUAAUGAUCCCUGGUGUAGAGUGACUAGAGGUGAGAGCAUGAAUCUAGUUGAUGAUCCCUGGUGUUGAGUGACUAGAGGUGAGAGCAUGAAUCUAGUUGAUGAUCCCUGGUGUAGAGUGACUAGAGGUGAGAGCAUGAAUCUCGUAUAAUGAUCCCUGGUGUAGAGUGACUAGAGGUGAGAGCAUGAAUCUAGUAUUAUGAUCCCUGG